UUUAGUUCUGUGAGUUCAUAUUACCAUUCUUUGGUUUAGUGUGGGCUGUUUUCAGCUUCAGUUCAUUUCACUGAAAAAAUCAUGUGUUGAAGUGAUUCUUUCUCUUUCAGAAAAAGUCGUGUUACUGAAGACUAGUCACCAUGAUAUGUGCAUCACACUGAACCACAGAGCUGGAUCUGCCGCCGACCGCUGCCACUCCAACGCUUCACCACUCACUGACCAUCUCUCCCCUCGUCUCCAUCGAUCUGCAGCCGGACUCCGCACCGCACCUGUCUGCCUUCACUCAUGGUUCAGCUGCCCUCCGGUUCCCUCCGCCACAAGCUGUUGCUCCCCCGCACUCUCUCCAUAUUGAGACAGUUAAGCCUGUUUACCUCCCUGUCAGUAGUUUUUGUGUUUAUCGUAAAUCUAGUGUGUUUCAUAGCUCGUCAUAGAUUUGUUGUGUUAUCUGUGCCUCGUCAGUGUGAUCUUUAUGAGCUCUGUUCUAGCCCGUGAGCAAGUUCCUGUUUGUUAGGCUUUUCCUGUUUAGCCAGUCUGUUAUCUCAGCAUUUUAGUCUGAGCGCCUUAUGUUAGUGUUUUGUUACCUACCAGUCAGUUCUCUCAGCACUGUAGUCUGAGCACCUUUUGUUAACGUUUGGUUUAUCUGCCUUUCUGUUACUCAGCACUUAGUUGAGCUCUUUGUGUUAGUUUGGUAUUUUAUCAGUUUUGUUCCUGGCCUGGUAUUACCUGGUUCUGGUUGAGUUUUUUGAUAUUGUGCUUAUUGGAUUCUCGUCUUUCGUAAAAUAAAUUACUAAAGCUGA